rnacentral:rRNA from 1 species
GUUGUAUAGUCAAGUAAUUAAGUGCAUGUGGUGGAUGCCUUGGCAGUCAGAGGCGAUGAAAGACGUGAUAGCCUGCGAAAAGCUCCGGGGAGGCGGCAAAUAUCCUUUGAUCCGGAGAUGUCUGAAUGGGGGAACCCACCUACUUUAAGGUAGGUAUUGCAACAUGAAUACAUAGUGUUGCAAGGCGAACGAGGGGAAGUGAAACAUCUCAGUACCCUUAGGAAAAGAAAUCAAUUGAGAUUCCCUCAGUAGCGGCGAGCGAACGGGGAUCAGCCCCUUAAGUUAUGUGUGUUUUAGUGGAACGCUCUGGGAAGUGCGAACGUA